rnacentral:rRNA from 1 species
CAGUAGCCACGGGAAUACGUAGGGUGCAAGCGUUAAUCGGAAUUACUGGGCGUAAAGCGUGCGCAGGCGGUUAUAUAAGACAGAUGUGAAAUCCCCGGGCUCAACCUGGGAACUGCAUUUGUGACUGUAUAGCUAGAGUACGGCAGAGGGGGAUGGAAUUCCGCGUGUAGCAGUGAAAUGCGUAGAUAUGCGGAGGAACACCGUUGGCGAAGGCAAUCCCCUGGGCCUGUACUGACGCUCAUGCACGAAAGCGUGGGGAGCAAACAGGAUUAGAUACCCGGGUAGUCCCUGUCUCUUAUAC